GUCUGGAUAGGUCAGUUGGCUAGAGCAUGGUGCUGGUAAUGCCAAGGUUGCAGGUUCAAUCCCCAUAUGAGACA